rnacentral:rRNA from 1 species
GCCGCGGUAUUUUGACCGUGCGAAGGUAGCAUAAUCAUUAGUCUUUUAAUUGAAGGCUUGUAUGAAGGGUUGGACGAGAAAUAAGCUGUCUUUAUUGGAAAAAUAGAAUUUAACUUUUAAGUGAGAGGGCUUAAAUGUUCUAAAGGGACGAUAAGACCCUAUAAAGUUUGACAUUUUAUUCAUUGAAAAAUAAAAUAAUUAAUUAAUUUUUAUUAGUGGAGUAGUGUUUUGUUGGGGCGAUUAGAAUAUAAAAAAUUUAACUGUUUUAUAUUAAUACAAAGUUGUUUGAGUGUCUUGAUCCUUAAUAAAGGUAUUAGAGUAAAUUACUUUAGGGAUAACAGCGUAAUUUUUUUUGAGAGUUCUUAUCGACAAAAAAGUUUGCGACCUCGAUGUUGAAUUAAAGAAUUCUUUAUAGCGCAGAAGUUAUAAAAGAAGGUCUGUUCGACCUUUAAAUCUUUACAU